rnacentral:rRNA from 1 species
AACGAUCAGUAGCCGACCUGAGAGGGUGAUCGGCCACAUUGGAACUGAGACACGGUCCAAACUCCUACGGGAGGCAGCAGUGGGGAAUAUUGCACAAUGGGCGAAAGCCUGAUGCAGCAACGCCGCGGGAGUGAUGAAGGCCUUCGGGUCGUAAAACUCUGUCCUCAAGGAAGAUAAUGACGGUACUUGAGGAGGAAGCCCCGGCUAACUACGUGCCAGCAGCCGCGGUAAUACGUAGGGGGCUAGCGUUAUCCGGAUUUACUGGGCGUA